GUGCUUGUUCUGGCAGCAUACAUGCUAAAAAAUUGGAACAAUACAGAGAUUAGCAUAGCCCCUGCGCAAGGAUGACAUGCAAAUUUGUGAAGCGUUUCAUAGGUUU